AGUUCUUCUGCAUGUGAUCCUUAUACAGAUUCUUAUCCUCUGGUUUACAUCUAUAGGUGAAUAAACAUCUGCAGUACUGUUGAGAUGUGCCUGAUAUAUUGCCAUCAACGUUAGAUGUCUGUAACUGCAAUUUUCACAAAAGGAGGUUCUGCUUUUAUAUUCUCUUUCCUUGCAGGCAAUAGUGGAUACGAGAUGCAAGAUCACAGGUACAUAUUUAACUAUUGGAAUUUACUUCCUUCUAUUUUAAUUCAAUUGCUUCUUUUGUUUCAAAAGAUUUAAUUGUUUCUAAAAAUUGUUUCAGAUUCAUUUGAUUAAUUCUGGCCACCUACAAGAGAUGUAACUUUCUGUUUGUCUUGGAGCCUGUCAAUUUUUUGCCUCUGUUGUUUAAUUACAAGUCAAGUGCAAAGUAUAGUGCUACUUGCAUAAUAGAUUUUAUUUACUAAAGGCAAGAGUAUAUACGCUGUUUUGGAUCUAGUUGCUCGAAGUAUCAUAUUGACAAUAAUUUGACUGUGCACAGUCCGCUCUAUCAAAGUAACAUUUUUUAUAGAAAAUUUUAUGACUUAAUAAUAUAAGUGAACUACAUUGAAUAAUAUCUAAAUUAACCAUUCCUUAUACUUUUUGAAAGAAAUCGUAUAUUUGAAUGCUUGUGCUUACAAGUUUGUGCUUCAUUUUUGUUUAGGAUGAUUAUUCAAAUAAAUAUAGAUAGCGAAGUUUCUUCAAUAAGAGGUUCCCUUCAAAAUUUGAAAAUCUAGGAAUCUAGUGUUCAUUCAGACAAGGACAUUUCUAUUUCAGCUUUAGAAUAGAGAUUUGGCUGAUGCAGAGUGAACUUGAACAGAGAGUCGUCAGUUUGCCAGGACAAAUGUAUUGACACUGUAGGUAUUGAGAUGAUUCCAAGGAUGAAGUAUGGAAACACAAGAAAGUUUACCCAUUUCAGAUGUCAUGUAUAUUUUACUUCUAGUCUGGAAUAUUGUAUACCAUCCCUCUCUGUAUCAUUUUCUUCCAUGUACAGAACAACUUAUUGAAGGGAAAUAUAUGGUAUAUUUUAUAA